rnacentral:lncRNA from 1 species
UAUUUUUAUUACAUUUUUUUUUUUUUUGUAAGGUUAUCUGGAGUAGGAAAUGGCACCUCACUCCAGUGUGCUUGCCUGGAGAAUUCCAGGGACAGAGGCGCCUGGCGGGCUACAGUCUGUAGGAUUGCAGAGUCAGACAUGACUAAAGCGAUGGAGCACACAGGCAGUGGUAUUUAUAUGAAAUAAUUCUGCAUCCGACUUGAAAGUUGCAGAAGGCUUAUGGUUGUGCUGCAGUCGCUGCCACCAAGCCUAAUUUAUAGGGAAUUCAUUUCAAACUGGAUCUCAGUUUGAUUAGGACCAUCCCUACAGAGCAGGUCAGAGACUCCACAUUAUUUUCUCCCCUUUGCUUGUAUUUUUAGCUGCAUAGUUAUCACACACUAUUGAAAAGAUUUCAAAAUAUCCUCGAGAAUAUCAGGAAAAAUGAAAGUCAGCUCUGACCAUCCCCAACCCUCCUCUUCUCUCAAGUGGAAAUCACUGUUGACAUUUCAGGGUGCAGCCAUCCAAACCUGUUGCUCUGCUUUUACGAAUAGAAACCUGAGCUGGUUGGCAGAGUACAGCACAACUCAUUUCGCGGGAUCUGGGGUGUGAAUGGCUCUGCUAAUGGGCGCCAGCGUGACCUGCAUAACCACCUGAUAGUCUUCUUGCCCGACUAGGAUAUAAACGAUUAGAGGGCUGAUGUCAUGGAAUAGGAAAUUUUCAAAAAUAUUCAAGUGAACUGACCAAGUCAGGAGCCCAGCCCUAACUCUACUGUCUACCAGAAGGGAUAACUUGCUUUCCCAAGAUUAAAAUCUGCCCUACAAAAUCUGUGCUGUUUGGUAACAUUAAAAAAAAAAAAAUUAAAAUUGUGUCAUGUUUCUCGUGGGUCAUAGGUNNNNNNNNNNNNNNNNNNNNNNNNNNNNNNNNNNNNNNNNNNNNNNNNNNNNNNNNNNNNNNNNNNNNNNNNNNNNNNNNNNNNNNNNNNNNNNNNNNNAAAAAAAAAAAAAAUUAAAAUUGUGUCAUGUUUCUCGUGGGUCAUAGGUGCUCAGGUUUUGCCUGAGGCCCCAUCGCUCUGUAUUUUGUUAUGGCAGGCUUAUUCCCACGUUUAUGAUACCUGCCAGGCCACUGUAGGAAUUUUGACAUGUGGCUUGGCCUUUCUGGAGCCCAUUUAACCUCUUGGACUGCAGUUUUUUCAUCUGUAAAAUUGUCCUGCUACCUGCUCUGCCCACAUCAUGAGACCUUCCGAUGACCCAAAGAGGUAAUCCAGGAAAAGGACUAUAAAGUUCACAAAAUACAACAUAAUAGAAUGUAUCCUCAUUAAAUUCAUUAAUAGUGUUAUGAUUAUUAUUUUUAUGGUAUUGAAAUGUGAUCAAACCCAACGUCUAGUAUCUGCAAGUAAAGCUUCUUGACUUUCAUCUAAUAAAACUGAAUCUUCACCCAUUGGUUGGCAGACCAGCAUAAAACCUGUGGAAUGUUAAAUUUCUGGGCACAUUCUCGUUCUCUUUUUAUAUUCCCCUGUGGUUUCUUGUGACUUUACAAAGAUCAAGAGGCCACCUCACAGGUUACCUUUCAUUCAGGAGGUUGUGGCAUCCUAUUCAUUGUGAAGUUCUGGAAAUUUUCCUCCUCAUCAUAGAAAACUGGUGUCACGUGGAGUAUCCUUUCCUCACUCUUGCCCCCUGCUUCCUCUUUGGUGACUAAAACUAGAGAAAAGAAAUCGGAAACCAUGUGUGUUAGAAUGGAACACCCAUCACAGGACACUUCCAAACUUUCAGACAUAUUUAGCUCUUGAAUAUUAUGGAUCUUUCGUGUAUCCUUUGGUGAAAUGUUAAACAAAAUGGUAGACAAAGUGUAGACUCUCUGAAACCCCCGGAGCUGCGUGAUUUGAGUACUUGUUCAGAGAUGAGCCAUGAGGAAGGUUUAUGCAGUGUUUGCUAUGCCUGUGUCAUUUGAGUGCUUCCUUGGUGGGUCAGCUGGUAAAGAAUCUACCUGCAAUGUGGGAGACCUGGGUUCGAUCCC